ensembl:lncRNA
GAUACAACCAACAGUCAAUUCACCAUGAUAGUAGUGCAACCUACUAUUUGUGCUUUCCUUUUACUUGGAGCCUUGUGUUUGCAGGCCAGAAGCAUGUUAGUGUGAGUGGUGCUCAUACAAGUGUAUCACUUGCAAUAAAAAAAGUGUGUAGCAGAGCAUUGACUCUAAGCAUUCAGUCACCUGAUCGAGUUCCCUAGGAUCAGACGGUGAUCCAAAUCUAAUUGAUGUCUCUGGGAGGUUCUUGAUGAAGGUCAGAGGCGAGGGAGUCUAUGGCAGCGCAAUGAACCAGCUCAACCAUCCAUCCAUCUUCAACCACUUACUCCUUUUCAGGGUCGCAGGGGAGCCUGGAGCCUAUCCCA